rfam:Picea glauca, whole genome shotgun sequence.
GUAGCAAGCUAAAUGGGCUUGAUUGUGGGGAAAACUCCAAAUUUAAGCAUGCUUGAGCCAGAGGCAUCUUGGGAUGGGUGACCACCUGGGAAGUCCUGGUUACCGGGUACA